CUCAGCCUUCUUAGCUUUUUCAGCUUUUUGAUGAGUUCGAUUUUUUCGACCUUCUAAGAUCAAUUUUUUAAUGAGCUGUAGACUUGCAAAAAAGAAAGAAAAGAGUAUGAUAGAUGAGAGCUUAUGAAUCUCUUGCCAUAAGAACUUUGAGUUGUGGGAGUCUCUCCUUCUCAGAGCCUGUCACUUUUUGAGUCCUUGGCCCUGUUUAUAUAGGUGCGAAGCA
rnacentral:lncRNA from 1 species